rnacentral:rRNA from 1 species
CCUACGGGAGGCAGCAGUGAGGAAUAUUGGUCAAUGGGCGCGAGCCUGAACCAGCCAAGUAGCGUGAAGGAUGACUGCCCUACGGGUUGUAAACUUCUUUUAUAAAGGAAUAAAGUGAGGCACGUGUGCCUUUUUGUAUGUACUUGAUGAAAAAGGAUCGGCUAACUCCGUGCCAGCAGCCGCGGUAAUACGGAGGAUCCGAGCGUUAUCCGGAUUUAUUGGGUUUAAAGGGAGCGUAGAUGGGUUGUUAAGUCAGUGGUGAAAGUUUGGGGCUCAACCGUCAAAUUGCAAUUGAAACUGGCUGUCUUGAGUGCAGUAGAGGUAGGCGGAAUGCGUGGUGUAGCGGUGAAAUGCUUAGAUAUCACGAAGAACUCCGAUUGCGAAGGCAGCUUACUAAACUGCCACUGACAUUGAUGCUCGAAAGUGUGGGUAUCGAACAGGAUUAGAUACCCGAGUAGUC